GCCAGGCAUGGUUGUGCAUGCCUGUAAUCCAAGCAGCUCGGGAGGUUGAGGCAGAGGAGUUGAGGUUGAGGAUCCAGAGGUUCAUAUCCAGCCUCAG
rnacentral:sRNA from 1 species